AUGGAAGCCGUCGCAAGUCAACCCGUCUCGGUGGCUGUAGAUGGGGGAGAUAUGACUUUCCAAUUUUACAAAGGUGGAGUGAUGACAGGAUCAUGUGGCACAGACCUGGACCAUGGUAUUGCGGCUAUUGGUUAUGGCAAGACCAGCGAUGGCACAAAGUAUUGGUUGCUGAAGAAUUCAUGGGGAACAACAUGGGGUGAGAACGGAUAUUUAAGAAUGGAGAAGGACAUUCCUGACAAGAAAGGCAUGUGUGGCCUUGCGAUGGAGCCUUCUUACCCCACUGCAUAG
rnacentral:rRNA from 1 species